GGCCUGGCUAAGGCCUAUUCACUUGUGGUUCCUUCUUCCUGAGAUAAGGAAUGCUCCAGAGAGGUUGCAGAAUGGAGGCCUCACCUAAGUCUCACCAGCAACGCACUCUAGCCUUGCUCUGCACAGCAGUCAGGGCAGAACCGCACACGUGUGGCAUGGAAUGACUAGAUACUCAGAUGAUGUACAGACCUUCAGAGAAAUCUGGACUGAUACCCCGAGUGCUGAGACCAUGAAGACAGGACACUUUUGGGGGACAGGAUGUCCUCUCACUGUACUCCUUAAAACUUUU
rnacentral:lncRNA from 1 species